rnacentral:rRNA from 1 species
GGCGUGCCUAACACAUGCAAGUCGAGCGAUCUUCUUCGGAAGAGAGCGGCGGACGGGUGAGUAACGCGUGGGUAACCUGCCCUGUACACACGGAUAACAUACCGAAAGGUAUGCUAAUACGAGACAAUAUGCUUUUAUCGCAUGGUAGAAGUAUCAAGGCUCCGGCGGUACAGGAUGGACCCGCGUCUGAUUAGCUAGUUGGUAAGGUAACGGCUUACCAAGGCGACGAUCAGUAGCCGACCUGAGAGGGUGAUCGGCCACAUUGGAACUGAGACACGGUCCAAACUCCUACGGGAGGCAGCAGUGGGGAAUAUUGCACAAUGGGCGAAAGCCUGAUGCAGCAACGCCGCGUGAGCGAUGAAGGCCUUCGGGUCGUAAAGCUCUGUCCUCAAGGAAGAUAAUGACGGUACUUGAGGAGGAAGCCCCGGCUAACUACGUGCCAGCAGCCGCGGUAAUACGUAGGGGGCUAGCGUUAUCCGGAAUUACUGGGCGUAAAGGGUGCGUAGGUGGUUUCUUAAGUCAGAGGUGAAAGGCUACGGCUCAACCGUAGUAAGCCUUUGAAACUGGGAAACUUGAGUGCAGGAGAGGAGAGUGGAAUUCCUAGUGUAGCGGUGAAAUGCGUAGAUAUCAGGAGGAACACCAGUUGCGAAGGCGGCUCUCUGGACUGUAACUGACACUGAGGCACGAAAGCGUGGGGAGCAAACAGGAUUAGAUACCCUGGUAGUCCACGCCGUAAACGAUGAGUACUAGCUGUCGGAGGUUACCCCCUUCGGUGGCGCAGCUAACGCAUUAAGUACUCCGCCUGGGAAGUACGCUCGCAAGAGUGAAACUCAAAGGAAUUGACGG